AAGUUACAAGAAAGGAGAAUCUGACCAAACACCAGGAAUAACUUUCUGAUGGUCAGAGCUGUUUGACAGUGGAACGGACUCCCUCAAGGUAUUGUGUACUCUCCUUCACUGGAACUUUCUAAGCAGAGGUUGGAUGCCCAUCUGUCAUGGAUGCUUUAGCUGAGAUUCUUGCAUUUGCUGGAAGUUAGACUAGAUGGCCUUUGGGGCCCCUUCCAGCUCUAUGAUUCUGUUACGUGCAAGUAAACAUGCAUGGGAUAAGGCAACAAAUCUCACAAGAGUUGCAAACCACGCAGUGUGGCGGGAAGCAAAUGCUAUUGGUAGCACAACAAACAGGUAGCCGAAGGCAGAAACUGUUGUCUAAAUGCUGCAGUCAUUCGAAAGCACAGGGCAUUUUACGGUGAGCUUCAGGUAGCAAAAUGUCUUGUACAUGCACUGGAAAUUACUAUUAAAUUAUAUCGCCCAUUUCCCCCCCUUGAAACCAUUUGGGUGAAUCAAACAUUUAAGGCCUCGCCAGGCAUCUUUUAGUAUUGUGCAUACACGAUGGUUUGUGCACAUGAUGACAUCGGGGCAUUUAUUUGGGAUCCCAUGUUCAAUGCUGUUUACACCUGCAAAAUGCAAUCUUGCAACAUACACCUGCAAAAAAGCCAAAACAAAGCCACCAGUCUAGAGGGCCCUUAAAAUAUUAUGUAUUUAUGCUAAAGUUGCAUUAGAUGCUUCUAAACUAGCCAUUGUUUCUUCAUUUGGGGGCUAAAUUACAAUAAAUUAAAUGAAAAAGUUACAAUUUAUCUCCAAACUGUUUGAUGGUAUUCUUCUUUCCAGAUGGAAAGCCUAUGUAGUUUCACCUAGCCCAGUUUGGCAGAAAAAUCCGAUUCAUCUAGUUAUUUCAUGCACUUUGAAGAUGCUAUUUUCCUGGUUAGCGGUUUUCUUGAAGACCUUUAUAUUUAUUGUUAAGAGAAUUCGUCCUGAUUUGUGUGUGUGUAUGUGCGUGAGUGCUGCUGGGCACUCCCCUUUCCUUCUUUUGUGCUGCCAAAUUAAAUUGAUCCUAUCUUG